rnacentral:misc_RNA from 1 species
CGAAAUGCGAUAAGUAGUGUGAAUUGCAGAGUUUUGUGAAUCAUCGAAUCUUUGAACGCACAUUGCGCCCCUCGGUAUUCCGACGGGCAUGCCUGUCCGAGCGUCGUUGCAGCACCAUCGAGUGACAUCUCGGUCUUGGGUGCCGUCACCCCGGGGAUCACCCCCCGGCGACGCGCCUCAAAGCCCUCGGCGGCCCCGGGCGUCCGUCGGAGCGUUUUGGAAGACGACCGCUCCGCGCGAGGCGCGCCGGGGGUUCCGGCCCCGAACGGCGGGCGGCGAGUAACACCGCGCGCACGCCAACACAACGCGAGAAGAGGUUUGACCUCGGAUCAGGUAGGGAUACCCGCUGAACUUAAGC